rnacentral:pre_miRNA from 1 species
UAGGCCUUCCGCAUUUGCCAAGGAGGGAGGCUGUGGCGGGGACCAUUGCCUCCCUCCUUGGCCAAUGCGGAAGGCCUU